rnacentral:lncRNA from 1 species
UUCACCUAGCCCAUGGCCAAGUCAGGGUCUCUGAAGAACCCCCAUGAAAAAUGCCAACUGGAAGAGCCAACAUUUGGAUCUUACCGUUUGGAAGGCUUUCAACAGUCAAGAGAGCAUCACAGCCAGCAUCUGCCUCCAUCUCUCAUCCCUCCACAGCUAUUAUAUUGGAAAAUCCAUCAACAGUUAGGUCACAUAGGAGAGUGAUCAGUAUAUCUUGGGAGUACAGUAGACACAGGUUAAGGAGAUCCCCUGCCUGCAGUCUCCCAGUCAAAUCAUAGGAACACUGUGAGACUCUGGGGUGAGCUUGCAUUUGCAGACAGGAACUGAAGGGCUGGAGAGGUUGCUGCACCCAGGUGCAGUUGCCCAGCAUGUGAAAGAGUAGACAUUCUAAACCCUGCACUUAAAAAAUAAAUAAAUAAAUAAAGUUA